AAAAAAUUAGUUAAACCCCAUAACAUUAGUAUGUCAAACUAAAAUUAUUAGAAUUUUCUAAUAUUUUUUA
rnacentral:tRNA from 1 species